rnacentral:ncRNA from 17 species
UUUUUUAACGGCGAUGAAGUCCGCCUCCAACCGCCACGUAUCGUGACUGAUGACUUCUACCGGGGA